rnacentral:rRNA from 1 species
CCUACGGGAGGCUGCAGUGGGGAAUUUUCGGCAAUGGGCGAAAGCCUGACCGAGCCAUACCGCGUGGAGGAUGAAGGCCCUUGGGUUGUAAACUCCUGUGGAGAGUCACUAAUUUUGAAGAGCUCUCUAGAAAGUGGUUGCUAACUCUGUGCCAGCAGCAGCGGUGAUACAGAGACCACGAGCAUUAUCCGGUUUCACUGGGCGUAAAGCGUUCCGAUAGGUUGUUUAGUGUGUCUAGGGUUAAAAACCGCAGCUCAACUGCGUGUUCGCUCUAGAAACUGCUAAACUAGAGAAGUCAAGAGGUAGCUGGAACUCUACAAGUAGGGGUGAAAUCCGUUGAUAUGUAGGGGAACACCAAAAGCGAAGGCAAGCUACUAGGGACUUUCUGACACUGCUAGGACGAAAGCGUGGGUAGCGAUACGGAUUAGAUACCCGAGUAGUC